rnacentral:lncRNA from 1 species
AUUAGUUUCCCCUUUAGGAAAUUAUAAUACUACAUACCAGAAAUACUCUAGGGAAGGAAUGAAGAAAUCCAGGCCACUCUAAAGGCAAGCCAGUCUUCUAAAUCUGUUCUAAUGUUCUGAUGACUUUAGAAAGAAGGGAAGUGAAGCAGAACC